AAACUUUUAACAACGGAUCUCUUGGUUCUGGCAUCGAUGAAGAACGCAGCGAAUGCGAUAAGUAAUGUGAAUUGCAGAAUUCAGUGAAUCAUCGAAUCUUUGAACGCACAUUGCGCCCCCUGGUAUUCCGGGGGGCAUGCCUCGUUCGAGCGUCAUU
rnacentral:rRNA from 1 species